AAUGGCUAAAAUAUACAUAGAAUAUAUGCGGAAGUACACUUUCCUCCUUUCUUUGGUGAGUGUCUCCUUUGUGUUUGCUGCCCUGCCUGAGCGUCUGAUGGAAUGAUUUACUAAUAACCUCUGAUUGCAGCCACUGUGAAGGCCACGCCGGGGCUACGUGUUUGUGCUGCCGGAGCAGAGAGAGCCAGCGUGGUGCAGAGCUGUGGCUCCUGACAGCCUGGCCGGCCUCGCCACAAGAAAUCACCUUCAAACUAAAACGUAUUUAAGUGUUCCAGGAUGUCUACUCCUAUGUGUUUUAUAUACAUAUGUAUAACAUUAUUUUUAGAAGUUCUUUACUGACAGCAGUAAGAUCCUUUUCUUAACACAUACCUGGCAACUCUGUCUUCUGCAUAGCUCAUCAAAGUACAUUAAAAAAAAAAAUGCUGGUCUUUAAAUAUAUGGAACUAUUCCAGGCUUCAAGUCAAAAAGAAUCUUAAAUUCCUUGCUGAGCUAAGGAACAACCGGGGAAAUCUUUCAGCCCUUGCCUGUGUCUCCUUCCUUCUCCAAUUUUUUUGCUGGCUGUAGUGCUCCCCUCAGAAGCUCAGAGUCCUCUUGAAAGCUUUGUGCAAACCUGUCUGUUUCUCUUCCCCUAACCCCAUUUCUGCCUCAGCCUGCUUGCCUGACCAGACCUUAAACUCCUUCUUUUCCCCUUCAGUUCCCCAGAAGAUGGGAAAAGCUACUCAGGGUGUUCACCAGGCUCCAGGCUUCUCAGAAGGCUUUCGCUCCAGCAACAGAUCAGCUUUGAAGGACAGAAGGAAGGCCAUACCAGCUCCCUGGAUUUGAGAACACUCAUCUUUGAGCAAGUUUUAGCUCCAGUGCAAAAUCUGUGGUCCAGUCUCAUCGCAAAUAAAACCUGCCUGCUCUGCAGUGUCGCUGGUCCUCUGGCUACGACCAGGAUUGGAAGGCAGGUGACCCGAAUUCUGCUUAGUCUUACCACCCCCUCGCCACGUGAUGCUGACCAGUGAUAACUCCCUCUACAAAGGCCUGAAAAGCAGAGAGGACAUGAUGUGACUCUCAGAAAGAAACACCUUCAGCAGAAGACCUUCAGAGCACAUGUCACCUGUUGAAUCGCAGAAACGUAGAAUCAUAGAACACCAGGUUGGAAGGGACCUCAAGGAUCAUCAAGCCCAUCCUUUCAAAGGUCAACCUUUUCCCCUUACUGGCGAUA
rnacentral:lncRNA from 1 species